UUCUUCCGAAAACACUAGAAACCUUAAACUACAGAAUUCUCAGCUGCUCCGCAACGGGUUGGUGAUUUCGAUCAUGCGUCCUACACUCCUCCUCGCGAUCUCUUCCAUCUCUGCUUCCUGAUCUUUUCGAUCUCUCCUUCGUGAUCCUUCGAUCUCUGCUUCCUCAUCUUUUUGGUCUUUGCUUUGCGAUCUCCUUGCCGUCUAAUCAUGCACCCAAUUUCUCUAGCCUUGAACAGUUGACGUGCUUUUCCAUUCAUCGCCAAAACCCAUGCUGCCUCCCUCUUUGUCUUCUCCUCCAGCAAUUUCCGCCCUUAGUUCUCAAUUGGAUUCACAGUAAAAACCCAAAAACUUAGAGAGUAAAAACGUUGAAACUUAAAGAUCUUACCCCGCAAUGCCCAAUCCAGAGAAUUGGUACUCAUAAUCAAUAAGAUUCAUAUGGUUUAUUGGUAUCAAUUUUGGUUGCAGCAAUGCUAUUCUUGCUGAAGACCUGCCAUAAAUUCAAAGCACGCAGAGAUCUCGAGUCAAAAACAGAGCAACUCUUGCACAGCGAAAUGACUCCCACCACCCAACAAACGCAACUGCUACAAUUUCAAUUGCAGUUCUUGAAGAAAGAACUUGGAACCAGCUUUUCACAUAACAUGGAUGAUGAAUGCAAGAAACUCAUACACAGAAUAACUCCACCAAGUUGUAUUCACAACUGUCCAAGACACUCUCUGGAAUUUAUUACAAUAGAAGGUCAAAUUUUCCUUCUUUGGAAACACCUCAAGCUAGGAACAAGUCUGGUAUCCAAGCUUUACAUUCAACAUUGUUUAGCAGCAUGUAGCAAGCUUUGUUUGACUGGUAUACCUCUCAAUACUGCAUUUAUUUUACUGAUUGAUGUAUUUCUUGAAGGUGGUGAUGUAAUCAUAAGAAAAAGUCGAGUUCUUUAGUUAAUGGCAAAUCGACCCAUUGCCAGGUAUCUCUCUCUCUCUCUCUCUCUCUCUCUCUCUCUCUCUCAAGAUAUUACCAAUUAGGUGUAUUUAUACUCUUAUUGGAUGUGAAUUUUAGUAUAAUGAUGUAACUGCAUGAUAACCUAUGCAUCGUUUGGAGUUUAAAUAUAACACUUAAAUUGUGGGCAAAUGUAAAUGUGAAAGUACGGAUAAACUAUAACCUCAUCCAUCAUUUAUUUGAGAGAUCACUCAAGUUGUGAAGAAAUGUAAAUAGCCAUUUUAUGAAGAUUAUUAGCACUUAAUGUACAAUUGUAUUACAUAAUUUUUGUGAAGAAUAUAUUUAUCAGCAGAAUGUGCUUUAAAGAAAAAAAAAAACAGUUUGUAAAGUAGGAGAAACAGCCAGGUGCCACUGUGUAAGAUUCUAGGGACUGCUGAAUUGGAAUACUCAGAGAAACGAUAUGCAUCUGGAUCACUAAUAAUGUUUUUUUGUGUGUAUGUAUCUCAUAUGUUGAAGGCACCCUAAUAUUAGUAGUCAAAAUGGAGCAAUUUGUCUGGAUAUUUUGAAAGACCAAUGGAACCCAACUCUGACAUUUAACUGCAGAGAUUCUUGGGUCUAAAAAUAAGAAAAUGGAGAGAGUAACACGACACUACUACUCGAAAUUGGCUUUGGGUCAUACUAUUCAUAGAGUGGUUCAAAGGAUUCCAAGAGCUGCAUUUACCCAAUUUAUGCGUUUCAUGUUAAACUUCUUUCAAAAAGCUCAAACAUCUUUCAGUGUUAAUAUACAUGAACCUUCUUUAAUAAUCUCUUAUAGCUUCGAAA